GACAUCUUCCGCACACACACAGCCGAGGAGCACGAUCACCCAUCCUGAAUGAUGCUAAAUGUAUGCCAUUCCCAAGCCUUCCAGCUAGCCUGGCAGAGCUGGACCUGCCUGUGGUCGCCUGAAGUAAUCAGGUAAAAAGGCUGGCAGAUGAGCACAUGCCCAGCUGGUUCCUCCCGGCCACUCAGGACAGGGGCGGACGCACACAAAGGGUCUUCAAUCUGCCUCAGACAACAAGCAGCAUAAAGACCCGGAAAACCACAACAGCGUUGUGUCAAAGACCAAGCCGGGGGUGGUGGGCCUAGCUCGGAGGCCCUGCCCUGUGUGGGAUAGGGCCACUGCUGAUGGAUGGAUGAGGGUUGAGCUCAAGCAACUGAUUGGAUGGGCAGGCUGAGGGCUUUGUGCAUAAAAGGAGGACAUUUGUACUUGCCCAUUAACAAUGGAAUGCAAACACAAGGAAGGACAAUGAGGCAUCCUUUUGGGGUGAUGAGGAAGCUUCUAGGAAAAUGAUGAUGCAAAGCAUCCCAAGAACAGAUAUUGUUCACACUACCUGUCAUUCGAUUCUGCGUGUACUCCCAUGGUGCUCUGGUGUCACAUUUGCCUUUGGCUUGGUUUACUUUUGCAUGAAGUACUUUUGGCUUUUAACAGUGUCUGGCAUAUUUCACAACACAGAAUAGGAGUGAGCGGUGACCAAGAAAUGCCCCACCUUGUCCUGAAAUAGACUGUGUUGAAAGAGAGUUUGACUUCAACUCUACCUCACCACUGUCCCAAUGUUUAGUAAAAAUUACAAAACUUUGGAAAAGUAAAGUUGUGUCUGGUAACUCAAAAGGCGCAAUUCUUGUCUGCCUUUCAAAUGCCAAAAGAGGGCUGCAGAAGUAAAGCAGUGUGUUGCAAUAAGAAU